AGGAGCGAAGUAUCUUUGUACAUUUUAGUUACAUUAAAAAAGGCUCUGUUAUGAGCGCUCUUA
rnacentral:tRNA from 1 species